rnacentral:rRNA from 1 species
GAACGCGAAGAACCUUACCAGCUUUUGACAUGUCCGGUUUGAGGAACAGAGAUGUACCUCUUCAGUUCGGCUGGCCGGAACACAGGUGCUGCAUGGCUGUCGUCAGCUCGUGUCGUGAGAUGUUGGGUUAAGUCCCGCAACGAGCGCAACCCUCGCCCCUAGUUGCCAUCAUUCAGUUGGGAACUCUAGGGGGACUGCCGGUGAUAAGCCGCGAGGAAGGUGGGGAUGACGUCAAGUCCUCAUGGCCCUUACAGGCUGGGCUACACACGUGCUACAAUGGCGGUGACAAUGGGCAGCGAAGGAGCGAUCCGGUGCUAAUCCCAAAAAGCCGUCUCAGUUCAGAUUGCACUCUGCAACUCGAGUGCAUGAAGGUGGAAUCGCUAGUAAUCGUGGAUCAGCAUGCCACGGUGAAUACGUUCCCGGGUCUUGUACACACC